rnacentral:rRNA from 1 species
UACGAAGGGUGCAAGCGUUACUCGGAAUUACUGGGCGUAAAGCGUGCGUAGGUGGUUUGUUAAGUCUGAUGUGAAAGCCCUGGGCUCAACCUGGGAAUUGCAUUGGAUACUGGCAGGCUAGAGUGCGGUAGAGGAUGGCGGAAUUCCCGGUGUAGCAGUGAAAUGCGUAGAGAUCGGGAGGAACAUCUGUGGCGAAGGCGGCCAUCUGGACCAGCACUGACACUGAGGCACGAAAGCGUGGGGAGCAAACAGGA